GACGAACGCUGGCGGCGUGCCUAAUACAUGCGAGUAGAACGCUGAAGAGAGGAGCUUGCUCUUCUUGGAUGAGUUGCGAACGGGUGAGUAACGCGUAGGUAACCUGCCUUGUAGCGGGGGAUAACUAUUGGAAACGAUAGCUAAUACCGCAUAACAAUGGAUGACACAUGUCAUUUAUUUGAAAGGGGCAAUUGCUCCACUACAAGAUGGACCUGCGUUGUAUUAGCUAGUAGGUGAGGUAAUGGCUCACCUAGGCGACGAUACAUAGCCGACCUGAGAGGGUGAUCGGCCACACUGGGACUGAGACACGGCCCAGACUCCUACGGGAGGCAGCAGUAGGGAAUCUUCGGCAAUGGGGGCAACCCUGACCGAGCAACGCCGCGUGAGUGAAGAAGGUUGUCGGAUCGUAAAGCUCUGUUGUAAGUCAAGAACGGGUGUGAGAGUGGAAAGUUCACACUGUGACGGUAGCUUACCAGAAAGGGACGGCUAACUACGUG
rnacentral:rRNA from 1 species